rnacentral:rRNA from 1 species
CCUACGGGAGGCAGCAGUCGAGAAUCAUUCACAAUGGGGGAAACCCUGAUGGUGCGACGCCGCGUGGGGGAAUGAAGGUCUUCGGAUUGUAAACCCCUGUCAUGUGGGAGCAAAUUAAAAAGAUAGUACCACAAGAGGAAGAGACGGCUAACUCUGUGCCAGCAGCCGCGGUAAUACAGAGGUCUCAAGCGUUGUUCGGAAUCACUGGGCGUAAAGCGUGCGUAGGCUGUUUCGUAAGUCGUGUGUGAAAGGGGCGGGCUCAACCCGCGGACGGCACAUGAUACUGCGAGACUAGAGUAAUGGAGGGGGAACCGGAAUUCUCGGUGUAGCAGUGAAAUGCGUAGAUAUCGAGAGGAACACUCGUGGCGAAGGCAGGUUCCUGGACAUUAACUGACGCUGAGGCACGAAGGCCAGGGGAGCGAAAGGGAUUAGAUACCCGGGUAGUC